rnacentral:lncRNA from 1 species
UAAACCAAAAACACAAACAAAUCUUUAUCAACUCCUCAGUUCUUCACAUCUCAAACACACCUACACAUGAAACACUCUCCUGCUCACCCUCUUCUUUCUCAAUGAAGGCCAGCAGCCGACCGGCGAGACCAUCGGCGGCAAGCCGGCGACCACACUCCUCCGAUAACACCCACACCUCCCCCGUACCCCCGUUUUCCGACGACAAAAAUCGAAGAGAGAGAAGGCGACAAGAUGAUUAGGCGCCGCCGCUCACGGUGGCGGCAAAGGAGUCGACGCCGUUUGUUGAGGCUCCUCCGACGAGAUUCACGGUGAACACCCAUCCCCCUUCCUCAGUUUCCUUUAUUUUUUCAGAAAAAUUGAUGAUGAUGAUGGGUGACAGUCUCUGUCUACCUGAAAACCGCCCGCGUUAGGGCAAAAUCACCGCUCUCUACACCACCACUCUCAACCUAAUCAUCAUAACAACUUCACCGGAGACGAAGGUGUGAUCUGGGUUUGAAGAUCUGAAUCUGUUUUCUUUUUUCUUUUCUUUCUUUUUUUUUAUUUUUGAAGUAGAUUUUUCAAUAAUUGUGGUUUGAUUUGAAAUUAUGAAUGAUAGUUGUGGAUUGGUGUUUUUAUUAUAGUAGGAUUUGAGAUUGAAGAUUAAGUGAUUAUUUAUUAAUCUGUUUUUUUUUAUAUAUUCUUGUUCUGGGUUAUGCACCUUGGGAUAUUAGAUUUUAUUUUGAAUUUAGGGGGUGUUUGGAUGUUGUUUAUGUGGGGAUGAUGAUGAUGAUCUGGGUUAGAUUUUGUGUUUGAAGUUUAUGUGGGGAUGAUGAUGAUGGUUGAAGAUGAUGAUGUUCGUUAAAGAUCUGGGUUAGAUUUAAUUGAAGAUAUGGGGAUGAUGAUGAUGAUGGUUGAAGAUGAAGAUCUGGGGAUGAUGAUGUUUGGUUGAAGAUCUGGGAUUUUUUUACAAAGUCAUUAAAAGGGGGAGGGGAAAUUACAAUUUUACCCAUCAUAUGCAACCCAUGUGACAAAGAAGUUAACCAGAGUUGGGGUUUGGUUAGAAUUAGGGGCCAAAAUAGUUAAAUAUAGGGACCAUGGGGGCAGAUACGUUAAAAAUUCUUAUUUUGGGCUAAUAUAGUAAAACUGACAUAACCACAGAGCCAAAAAUGUAAUUUACUCAAAAAUUAAUAUGGGUGAAAAGUGUUCCCUAAAAUAUACAGAUGAAAAGUAAUAUUUUUUUCUCCUCCAUUCACAACCACUUUUUAUAAUAUGCAGAAUUCACUCACAUAAAUAUGUAGAAUAGGAUGUGAAUGUUUUUAUAUUAUAAGGGAUGAUUGUGAGUCAUUUUUAGUUGUGAGUGGAUGAGAGAAAAAAUGUUACUAUUAAUCUCUAAAUAUACGAGAAGCAUUGUUCGCCCCUAUAAAUUUUUUAAUAUUUUUGAAAGUGGUUGUGACUCGAAGACAGAAUCUGUAAUGAUAAAGGUAUAAAAAAUAUUGUU